UAGGGAAUCUUCGGCAAUGGACGGAAGUCUGACCGAGCAACGCCGCGUGAGUGAAGAAGGUUUUCGGAUCGUAAAGCUCUGUUGUAAGAGAAGAACGAGUGUGAGAGUGGAAAGUUCACACUGUGACGGUAUCUUACCAGAAAGGGACGGCUAACUACGUGCCAGCAGCCGCGGUAAUACGUAGGUCCCGAGCGUUGUCCGGAUUUAUUGGGCGUAAAGCGAGCGCAGGCGGUUAGAUAAGUCUGAAGUUAAAGGCUGUGGCUUAACCAUAGUAGGCUUUGGAAACUGUUUAACUUGAGUGCAAGAGGGGAGAGUGGAAUUCCAUGUGUAGCGGUGAAAUGCGUAGAUAUAUGGAGGAACACCGGUGGCGAAAGCGGUUCUCUGGCUUGUAACUGACGCUGAGGCUCGAAAGCGUGGGGAGCAAACAGGAUUAGAUACCCUGGUAGUCCACGCUGUAAACGAUGAGUGCUAGGUGUUAGACCCUUUCCGGGGUUUAGUGCCGUAGCUAACGCAUUAAGCACUCCGCCUGGGGAGUACGACCGCAAGGUUG
rnacentral:rRNA from 1 species